UUUCCUAAGUAAAGUGCAUUGUCCACUCAUCUCUGCUCUCCUGCGCCUGACUUCUAUGCACCGGCUACACUCACCCCUUGACACUUUGACCUCUUCCAUCCUUAUGUAAUGCCUGGUCUUGGUUCAGAUGGGUGAUCUUUCGCCUCACACCAACACUUUUUAAUGCAGCUGAACUAGGAGCGGAGGACAAGGCUAACUGGAUGCUCUCCCGAUGCCAAGGAGGGAUGACAGUAGAUGACUAUAAUCUUGAAGACACCGGAUGAACGAGGACAUUUGUGAAAGCUGGAUUUGAACCAGGUAGAGGUGGACAGUGUUGGAUGAUAUGAUGGUCAAGGCUACAGAUGAGUAAUAUAAUGGUCCUGCUACAUGUCACCGGCUGGCUCAUAGCCUGUGGCAAAAAUGAGGGGACAUCAACAACAGGAGGAACCGCCCCUGCACUGCAGAGGAGGAGCCGUGACAUACACGACAGCCAGUGAGCGUUGAGGGAAUGCUUCCUUUGAAAUCAAUGAAAGUUGCUAUACUGCUCGCGUUGUGUCGUGUCCAAAGCAGCAUCCAAGCUCAAGAAUCGCCGAGGUUCAAUUCUCGAUGUGAAUGGAAAAAAUGAGAUGUGUAGCAGGUAGAACAUCACAUUGAUGGUGACUUGUGGUGUAGCUGAAAUGUUAGGUAAAGCAUCUGUCCAACUUCGCAUGCGCACACACACACACACACACACAAUGCUAGGCGAUGUUUCAUUGUGUUUAAAUCCCCCUCCUUAACCACCAUUCAACAAGUGUGUCAGACUCAUAUUAGCCUCCAUUAUCCCUACUUUAAUUCAAGGCCUAAAUACAGGUGUUAUAUUAGCCUUUAUUAUCCCUACUUUAAUUCAAGGCCUAAAUCCAUUAUCCCUACUUUAAUUCAAGUCCUAAAUACAGGUGUUAUAUUAGCCUUCAUUAUCCCUACUUUAAUUCAAGGCCUAAAUACAGGUGUUCCAACUCAUCUGAAAGCCCUCUAAAUCACCUGUCAAGUCAGGCAUUCAACAGGCACCUUAUUAGAUCGAGAGCACGUUGAACACUUCUCUUUUAUCUCUGGAGUCCAGGGUUUGUUAUUGUUCUGACUCGUGUGUGUGUGUGAGCAGCCAGUUAAGGUGGGAUGGGGGUGAGGGGGUUCCUCCAAAGGUUUAGAUUACUUUCUGCAGGAAGGGAGACAGGGGGCGUACAUACAUUUUCUCUUAGCUCACCUCCUCCCUGAACUAGACCUUGAUUUUAUUCAAAAUGGCAGCCAAAAGAAUAGAGAAUGUGUAAGCGCUAAGCAAGGGCAUCUUUGGAAUUCCAGUCUCAGCUCAAGGAUAACAUGCAGAUAUAAGAUCAGCACUGGUGUAGAAUGUCACCAAAUAGAUAUUUUAUUCAUUUAUAAUAACACACUGUUUUAGGAUUUGAGGAUUCCCAAGCAUGUCUUGUACAGAAACCUUAAAUAAGUAUGGGCAGACCCAGUAUGGGCAGACCCAGCACUGAAUCACUUCUGUUAUACUGUAACCUAGUAGGCCAAGCUAUGACCAAGUCCUGUUUUUUUAUUUGUUUUAUUUUUUAUUUAACCUUUAUUUAACUGGGUGAGACAGUUAAGAACAAUUUGUUAUUUACAAUGACGGCCUACCAAAAGGCCUCCUGUUUCAAUGACGUUGACUCGGGAAACACUGCUGACCUCCACAGUUCGAUGCCAAGUUGACAUCAAAAAUAUAACAUAGUGCCGUGAUUUUCUCUAUUUUUGCAAAUAUUCUUUACAAUGAAAGUAAUCAGAUCUUCAACCAAAACAUAAUAUUAGAUAAAGGGCCUGACAUUCUCCUUUAGAAUUCUCUGAUACAGAGCAAGAUUCAUGAUUCGUUCAAUGAUGGCAAGUCAUCCAGGUCCUGAGGAAACAAAACACACACAUUUCAGGGAUCUUUUAUUUCAGCUCAUAACAAAUAGGACCAACACUUUACAUGUUGCGUUUAUAGACAAUGAUCCUAAACACACAACCAAGUCUACACUCUAAAAAGAAAAAGUUCCUUGAGAAUCCUUUAAGGGUUCUUCAAAUUAAAACUGUGCAGGAACACCUAUAAAUUCUUCAAAGAACUCAUUUUAAUGGAUCCUCGAAUAACCUUUUGAAGAACCUUUUGGGGUUCGUUUUUGAACUACCUCCCCUCCCCCUACUAUUAAUAAUAAUAAUAUGCAUAAAAAUAACAACAAUAACACUAUAUUUUAGUUCUGUGUUUAUUAUGAUUUUAGUGGCAAAGCAGAAUAAAAAAAAUUGAAAUAUGAGGUAAACUCUCAGCAGAGCCCCAAGUCCACUGGGUAUAUCCUCUGGUGUUGUGAUGUUAAUGUGUUGAUGUUCCCCAUAUCCAUAGUCAGAAUGAUUUUGCAGUGCAUGGUGAUCUUACACAUUUCCUGAUAUAUUCAUCAGAGGUGUUUUAGAAAGAUUUGCACAAAUAUGAAAAGAUAGAUGGUAUCAUUAUAAAACAAUAUCAAUUUAGAUCAUACAAGGGACAAACCUUACCUUAAAUUGAGAUCUUUACAUUUAAGUGGCUGCACUUGCUGUCUUUUCAAAUUCAAAUGUUUCAGUUGGGCAGUUAGGUUCCUGCAAGAACCCCCACCAACUAAGGAGGUUCUUCGAUGAACCCCACCUCCUAUGGGGUUCUUGGUGGCCAUUUUCAGUUCCAAGAACCCUAAGGUUCUUCAAAGAACUUUGAGGAUCUUAGAAGAACCCUUGUUGAACCCCUAAUUCUUCGUGUGCGUGUUAGAAUAGCUGAAAAGCAACACAUUUAAAGUUUCGGAAUGGCCUAAUCAAAAUCCAGAUGUAAACCGGAAUGAGAUGUGUCAGGACCUGAAACAAGCAGUUCAUGCUCGAUAACCCACAGAUGUCGUUGAGUUAAAGCAGGUCUGCAUGGAAGAGUGGGCCAAAAUUCCUCCACAGCCACUUGAGACUGAUCAACAACUACAGGAAGUAUUUGGUUGGAGUCAUUUCAGCUAAAGGAGGCACAACCAGUGAUUGAGUGUAAAGGGGAAAUGAGUUUUUCACACAGGGGCAUUGGGUGCUGCAUUACUUUGUUUAUUCAACAAUUAUAAACCAUUUCUAUGGGCUGGAUCAGCUUUAGUAUUGCUGACAGAUUGGAGCUUCCAUCAACGUAAUUGUCUGCAUCACUUCCAAUCCCCCAUAUAUUUUUUUUGCACACACACACACAUUUAAAAAAAUAUAUAUUUUCCUUUAUUACUUUCUAACUCUACCACCCCUCCCCCUAAUGGAGUAAACUAGUGAACAACAACACUUAGGCUUGACCGAGCUGACACCCUUUCGCAGGUGAACAGUGUUUCCUCCGACACAAUGGUGCGGCUGGCUUCCGGGUUUAAGGAGCGAGGUUAGGCUGGUCAUGUUUUGGAGAAUGCAUGACUCCGCCUUCGCCUCUCCCAAGCCCGUUGGGGAGUUUCAGCGAUGAGAAAUGAUCGAAAAGUGGGGUGAAAAAGGGGGGUAAAAUACCCCCAAAAAUUACAAAACCAAUGGGGGUUUGGCACUCUCCCAAAGG